rnacentral:rRNA from 1 species
CCGAGAAGGGCACUGAGACACUGGCCCUAGCUCUAAGGAGUGCAGCAGGCGCGAAAACUUUGCAAUGCACGAAAGUGUGACAAGGGGAUCCCAAGUGCUCUACCACUGGUAGAGCUUUUGCCAAGUGUAAGGAGCUUGGCGAAUAAGUGGUGGGUAAGACGGGUGCCAGCCGCCGCGGUAACACCCGCGCCACUAGUGGCAAUCGCAUUUAUUGGGCCUAAAGCGUUCGUAGCCGGAUAAGUAAGUCUUUGGUGAAAUCGUUACGCUCAACAAAACGACGUGCUGGAGAUACUGUUUAUCUUGGGACCGGGAGGAGUUAGGGGUAUUCCAGAGGGAGCGGUAAAAUGUUAUAAUCUCUGGAGGACCACCUGUGGCGAAGGCGCCUAACUAGAACGGGUCCGACGGUGAGGAACGAAAGCUAGGGGAGCAAAACGGAUUAGAUUCUGAAUCUUCUGUUAAGAAGUCGACGAAUUAAUUUUUGUUUUUUGUUCGAAAAAAAAUACUUUCAAAAAAUUAAUUUUAGUAUCAUCAGAAAUGAUUCAGCUAAUUACCCGAGUAGUCCUAGCCGUAAACGCUGUGUACUAGAUGUUGCAUAUUCCUCGUGAAUAUGCAGUGUCGGAGCGAAGGCAUUAAGUACACCGCCUGGGAAGUACGGUCGCAAGGCUGAAACUUAAAGGAAUUGGCGGGAGAGGACUACAAGGGGGGGGGCGGGGGGGUUAAUCUAACUCUACGCAGAGAAUCUCACCAGCAGCGACGGCAGGAUGAAGGUCAGGCCAAAGGUCUUACCCAACGAGCCGAGAGGUAUUGCAUGGCCGUCGUCAGCUCGUGCCGUGAGGUGUCCUCUUAAGUGAGGUAACGAGCGAGACCCAUACCCAUAAUUGCCAGCGAGCGCUUUAGCGUGAUCGGGCACAUUA